ensembl:lncRNA
CCGCCCCGUUCCCGGCUGGCUGGGGAAGGGGCGUCCGGAGCCGCAGUGGCCCAGGAACAACUACAGCCCGUCGGGGACGAGAGAGAUGGGGGCGGGCGUUAGAAACGCGUUCUCCGCUGCGUGAGGCUGUGGCCUAGACCUCGGCGCGUUUCAUCUCCGGCGUACUCCUCGGGGAGAGCCGGGAGGUCCUCCUCACUCUGUGACCUACGCUGUGGCAGUUGGGAAAGGACCUGAGAAAGUGACAAAAGGCGAUGCUCCGGUCACAGCAGGGGCCCAGAAGGGCGCCCACAAGGGAUCUGAGCACGCCUGGCCCCUGGCUUCCCGAGGAGGGUUGCGCCUUAAGUGGGGUGCGAGGACCGGGCGGGCUCCGGGGCAACAAGGCCCCGCAGUCCCAGGGGUGCUCGCGGUGACCUGGUGGGGCUACUGGUGGGUCGGCCCCGCAGCCGUGAGCCAAGGAAACAGGGCCGGUGGCACUGACGCUCCUGUGAGAACCUAACUGCCACCUGAGGCGUCCAUGCGGGCCUGGCCAGGAGCGCCCUCGAGGAGCCCAGGCAGAUCCUCUCAUUGAAACGCAGGUCGAGCUGCUCUUACCUGCUCAGGAAGGACUUCACUAACCCUAGCCAGAAAACCUAGACCCAGAAUGACAGCAGAAUUCGGGCGUCAGGACCCAGUGGUCAGUUCUGACCCAAGGUUACACAGCUGCCCCUGACUGAUGGAGAGAGGAACAGAAAGAGCUGCUGCUGGCCCACAAAUCAGGAAGUCAACUCAUUCUGAGCCCCAAACCUAGGACUUCUGGAUGAGGAAAUUGAAGCUUGUGCCAAACGAGGAAAGGAAUUCGGGUCAGGUCACACAGCUAGUAGAUCUCAGGGCUGGGCUUUGAAUGCACCCUGGCCUACACAGGAAGUUCAAGGCCAACGUGAGCUACUUACAGACCUUCAAAAAAACUAGAAAAUGUAAAAAUAAAG